UAGUCAUAUGCUUGUCUCAAAGAUUAAGCCAUGCAUGUCUCAGUGUAAACUUUUAAACAGUGAAACUGCGAAUGGCUCAUUAAAACAGUUAUAGUUUAUUUGAUAAUCAUUUUACAUGGAUAACCGUGGGAAUUCUAGGGCUAAUACAUGCGUAAACCCGCAAGGGAUGUGUUUAUUAGAUUAACACCAUCACUGUGCUUGCACAGUUUCAUUGGAGUGAUAAUAACCGAUCGAAUCGCACGCUUUAUGUGGCGAUAAAUCAUUCAAGUUUCUGAC
rnacentral:rRNA from 1 species